GCUGCAGGUGUCUGAGAGAGAGAGAGAGAAAGAGAGAGAGAGAGAGAGAGAGAGAGAGAUCGAGCUGAUGACUGCAACCUCUGCAGCCCAAGAGACCCAGCUGCAAAGAUGAUCACUAGAGGGCAGGAGAGAUUGCUUUAGAAGCCGGCUGGCUUCCAGCUGGGCGGCUGCUGCUGCGUAGCCUGGGCUGUGCUGUGGGGCUUCCCCAUCACAGCGCACCUGGGAACGAGGCUGUGUGAAGGGCGCGCGGGGUACAUGAGUGUGGUGUUGAUAAUAUAACAUGGAUGAAUCUCACAAACAUUAUCCUGAGAGAAAGAAGCCAGACACAAAAAAGUACAUGCUGUGGGAUUGGCUUCGUUUCUUUGAAAUUCUAGAACAGGCUCCACAAUCUGCAGCGAUGGAAAGCAGAACAUUAAAAGGAGACCUUCUGGCAUCAGGCUCUGUGUCGGGCACGGACACUCAAAGCCUAGAGCAUGGAGGAGGAAAUGGGUGAGAAAGCAGAUGAUGACUUCUCAGUCUCGCAGCUUCUAACACAGCGGAAAACUCCCCUGGACAUCCCUGCGAAUCCUGGCCCCUGG